rnacentral:rRNA from 1 species
UACGAAGGGGGCUAGCGUUGUUCGGAAUUACUGGGCGUAAAGGGCUCGUAGGCGGCCAACUAAGUCAGACGUGAAAUCCCUCGGCUUAACCGGGGAACUGCGUCUGAUACUGGAUGGCUUGAGUUUGGGAGAGGGACGCGGAAUUCCAGGUGUAGCGGUGAAAUGCGUAGAUAUCUGGAGGAACACCGGUGGCGAAGGCGGCGUCCUGGACCAACACUGACACUGAGGAGCGAAAGCCAGGGGAGCAAACGGG